ensembl:lncRNA
UUUAUGAUGCCCUUAUAUUCAACAAUGGAUAUAAAUAUGUCUAAUUUUAGAUAUUUUUGCAGAUUAUUCCAUGCCCAAGGUGCAUAGUAGGAAAAUGGAGUUCUCCCCAGAUCUGUCAAAGGCCGAGGUACAUUAAAAAGCAACCACUUGGAAGCGCGCAGCUGAUAACUACCAGAGCUGAGACAGAGAAGGGUACAGAGAAUGGAUCGUUACAUGGCUGGAUAGAACGGCACUGAUAGAACGCCACAUUGAUCUGACAGAACGAUCCGGCCAUCAUGAACCCAGCGGAUCUGGAUGCCGUCCGUCAGGCCAUGUCGAUAAAGGGCACCCUGUUGGGACACCGCAGCUCUUCGCUUCAGGAGAUAAUGACUGGACUGCAAAUCCUGUCUGCCAGCGUGACGGCCAUCCAGGAGCGACUCAAUACACCCGCCGAGCCCCCGGCCUCUGCUUCAUCACCCGCACCAGAACCCCCGGCACCAGCGCCUGUUCCAUGCCCUGAUAGGGAACCAUGGGUUCCCACGCCCGAAAGAUAUGACUGAGAUAUGGGACUCUGUCGUUCCUUUCUGUUGCAUUGCGGUCUCGUAUUCGAUCAGCAACCCCACACC